GACGAACGCUGGCGGCGUGCUUAACACAUGCAAGUCGAACGACGUGGAGAACGGGUGAGUAACGCGUAAUCAACCUGCCCUUCCGAGGGGGACAACAGUUGGAAACGACUGCUAAUACCGCAUACUGAAGGAGGGGAUUGCGUGGGAUUCGGUAGUUGGAGGGGUAACGGCCCACCAAGGCGAUGAUCAGUAGCCGGUCGGAGAGGAGGAACGGCCAGAUUGGGACUGAGACACGGCCCAGACUCCUACGGGAGGCAGCAGUGGGGAAGCUUCCGCAAUGGACGAAAGUCUGACGGAGCAACGCCGCGUGAGUGAUGACGGCCUUCGGGUUGUAAAGCUCUGUUAAUCGGGACGCGGUACCGGAAUAGAAAGCCACGGCUAACUACGUGCCAGCAGCCGCGGUAAUUC
rnacentral:rRNA from 1 species